UACGGAGGGUGCGAGCGUUAAUCGGAAUUACUGGGCGUAAAGGGUGCGUAGGCGGUUUGAUAAGUUAUCUGUGAAAGCCCUGGGCUCAACCUGGGAAGGCCAGAUAAGAUUGUUAGACUAGAGUAUGGGAGAGGGUAGUGGAAUUUCCGGUGUAGCGGUGAAAUGCGUAGAGAUCGGAAGGAACACCAGUGGCGAAGGCGGCUACCUGGCCUGAUACUGACGCUGAAGCACGAAAGCGUGGGGAGCAAACAGG
rnacentral:rRNA from 1 species